CAUACGGCUCAGUAACACGUAGUCAACAUGCCCAGGGGACGUGGAUAACCUCGGGAAACUGAGGAUAAACCGCGAUAGGUCACUACUUCUGGAAUGGGUAAUGACCCAAACCUAUAUGGCCCCUGGAUUGGACUGCGGCCGAUCAGGCUGUUGGUGAGGUAAUGGCCCACCAAACCUGUAACCGGUACGGGCUCUGAGAGGAGGAGCCCGGAGAUGGGCACUGAGACAAGGGCCCAGGCCCUAUGGGGCGCAGCAGGCGCGAAACCUCUGCAAUAGGCGAAAGCUUGACAGGGUUACUCUGAGUGAUUUCCGUUAAGGAGAUCUUUUGGCACCUCUAAAAAUGGUGCAGAAUAAGGGGUGGGCAAGUCUGGUGUCAGCCGCCGCGGUAAUACCAGCACCCCGAGUGGUCGGGACGUUUAUUGGGCCUAAAGCAUCCGUAGCCGGUUCUACAAGUCUUCCGUUAAAUCCACCUGCUCAACAGAUGGGCUGCGGAAGGUACUAUGGAGCUAGGAGGCGGGAGAGGCAAGCGGUACUCGAUGGGUAGGGGUAAAAUCCGUUGAUCCGUUGAAGACCACCAGUGGCGAAGGCGGCUUGCCAGAACGCGCUCGACGGUGAGGGAUGAAAGCUGGGGGAGCAAACCGGAUUAGAUACCCGGGUAGUCCCAGCUGUAAACGAUGCAGACUCGGUG
rnacentral:rRNA from 1 species